rnacentral:rRNA from 1 species
GCCAACACUGGGACUGAGACACUGCCCAGACUCCUACGGGAGGCUGCAGUCGAGAAUCUUUCGCAAUGGGCGAAAGCCUGACGAAGCGACGCCGUGUGAAUGAAGAAGGCCUUUGGGUUGUAAAGUUCUUUCGCUUGGGAACAAGA